AAGUAUAUGCAUAUCGUUAUAUGCAGAAACUGCGAACGGCUCAUUAAAACAGUUAUAAUCUACUUGACAUUUUUUUUUUCAUAAGGAUAACUACGGAAAAGCUGUAGCUAAUACUUGCUUUAGCGCUCUCGAUUCACGUCUUGAGUGUGUACUUGUUAAGCCUAUUAAGAAAAAAGAUAUUAACUUAAGGAAUUAUAACAAAGAAGUGACACAUGAUGGAUUUACAUCCAGUUCUUAGUGUGUAUCAAUCGAGUUUCUGACCUAUCAGCUUUUGAUGUUAGGGUAUUGGCCUAACAUGGCUAUGACGGGUAACGGGGAAUUAGAGUUCGAUUCCGGAGAGGGAGCCUGAGAAAUAGCUACCACAUCUAAGGAAGGCAGCAGGCGCGUAAAUUACCCAAUUCUAAAGAAGAGAGGUAGUGACAAGAAAUAACAAUACAAGGCCAAUCUGGCUUUGUAAUUGGAAUGAUGGGAAUUUAAAACCUUCCCAAAACUCAAUUGGAGGGCAAGUCUGGUGCCAGCAGCCGCGGUAAUUCCAGCUCCAAUAGCGUAUAUUAAAAUUGUUGCAGUUAAAACGCUCGUAGUUGAAUUUCAAAGAAUCGAUAUUUUAAGUAACGCUUUUAGCUUAAUCCACAUAACUGAUACUACGUAUCGACUUUGUGCGCAUUUUGCUAUUAUGUGUUCUUUUAAUUAAAAUGAUUCUUUUUAAGAUCUUUUUUUGUUUCGGCAUUGAAAGGUCUUGUUACUUUGAGUAAAUUAGAGUGUUCAAAGCAAACAGAUAUAGCAUUGCGCGUUUGAAUACUACAGCAUGGAAUAACAAAAUUGAACAAGUCAGAAUUUUGUUCUUUUUUCUUAUUUUGGCUUAGUUACGAUUAAUAGGAGUAGCUUGGGGGCAUUUGUAUUCAGAUGUCAGAGGUGAAAUUCUUAGAUUUUCUGGAGACAAACAACUGCGAAAGCAUUUGCCUAAAAUACUUCCAUUAAUCAAGAACGAAAGUUAAGGGAGUGAAGACGAUCAGAUACCGUCGUAAUCUUAACCAUAAACUAUGCCGACUAGGCUUUGGAUGAAAGAUUUUAAAAUAAGUGUUUUUCUCUUCGGAGUUAAACUCUUAGAUUGCUUCCUUCAGUGCCUUAUGAGAAAUCAAAGUCUUUGGGUUCUGGGGCGAGUAUUCGCGCAAGCGAGAAAGUUAAAAGAAUUGACGGAAGGGCACCACCAGGCGUGGAGCUUGCGGCUUAAUUUGACUCAACACGGGAAAACUCACUAGUUUAAGACAAGAGUAGGAUUGACAGAUUAAUAGCUCUUUCUUGAUUUCUUGGAUGGUGAUGCAUGGCCGUUUUUAGUUCGUGAAUAUGAUUUGUCUGGUUAAUUCCGAUAACGAACGAGAUCUUAACCUGCUAAUUAGCGGCAAAUACGAUAUAUUCUUAUGUGGAAUUGAAUACGGUUGAUUUGCUUAUUUUGAAGAGAAUAUUGGAAUGCGUAAAGUGUUCCUUUCCCUUCUCUACUUGAUUCGCUUAUCAUACUGUUUCUUUUUUGCGUAAGAAUGUAUUUGCUUGAUUGUAAAGCUUCUUAGAGGAACGAUGUGUGUCUAACACAAG
rnacentral:rRNA from 1 species